GGGGCUGACAGGUUUCGACGUCAGUAGCGAUGGCCGAGUCGGCGACCCGAGUUGCUCAGACUCGCUAAACGGGGCACCAACAAGAAUUGCCGAUGAGCAGUUCGCUCUCGCCGCCUGAUCCAAUCAGGUGAUCAGAGAGUCACAGUGAGCAGCAAUGCCGCACGGGGCCGAUCCACCGCAGCCCGGCAACAGAAGCGGGGGAUGACGGCGAGAAAGACCGCUGGCAGCCGGAAAGACGGAUGACACCCGGGAAAGACCGAGCGCUGGUCAUGAGCUCCACAGCGACUGACCAUCCGACCCGCCGGUGAGACAGCGUCAGUCUCCGUGCCGGGAAUGGUCGUAGCUGGUUCGUCCACGGGCUGAUGGACGGGGGUUCGAUUCCCCCCAGCUCCACGC
rnacentral:tmRNA from 2 species